UACGAAGGGGGCUAGCGUUGUUCGGAUUUACUGGGCGUAAAGGGCGCGUAGGCGGCUUUUUAAGUCAGGGGUGAAAUCCCAAGGCUCAACCUUGGAACUGCCUUUGAUACUGGGGAUCUUGAGUCCGGGAGAGGUGAGUGGAACUGCGAGUGUAAAGGUGAAAUUCGUAGAUAUUCGCAAGAACACCAGUGGCGAAGGCGGCUUCCUGGUCUGCGACUGACGCUGUGGCGCGAAAGCUAGGGGAGCAAACGGG
rnacentral:rRNA from 1 species